rnacentral:rRNA from 1 species
GUAACGCUGGCGGCUGCUCCACACAUUACAAGUUGAACGGGUUUAAGUUCUAUUAAACUUAAACAAGUAGCGGACGGGUGAGUAACGCGUAAGAACCUACCUUUAGGUAAGGAAUAACUAUUGGAAACGAUAGAUAAUACCUUAUAAGCUUAUAGUAAAAGAUAAAAUCGCCUAAGGAUGGGCUUGCGUCUGAUUAGCUUGUUGGUGAUUUAAAAGAUUCACCAAGGCAACGAUCAGUAGUUGGUCUAAGAGGAUGAUCAACCACACUGGGACUGAGACACGGCCCAGACCUCUACGGAGGGCAGCAGUGAGGAAUUUUCCGCAAUGGGCGAAAGCCUGACGGAGCAAUGCCGCGUGGAGGAUGAAAGCUUGUGAGUCGUAAACUCCUUUUCUUAGUGAAGAAAUAAGACGGUAUCUAAGGAAUAAGCAUCGGCUAACUCCGUGCCAGCAGCCGCGGUAAUACGGAGGAUGCAAGCGUUAU